UUUUUUUUUUUUUUUUUUUUUUUUUUUUUUUGCGAUUUUCUCC
rnacentral:ribozyme from 1 species